GCGCGUUUGUGCACGCGAGCGUGUGCCCCGGAGGGCUGGGAAUUGGUAGGAACCGCAGCUGGAUCCGAAAUCCAAGCUCCGGCAAAGCGAAGCUAUCUCCUGGGAAAAAUAAGCUCCCUUGGUCUUUGAUGCAGCUUUUCGCCUUUCACCAAUAACAAGACAGGACAGCGAAAGACUGAAAGGACGAAGACUGUGUUUUACUAUGUCAUCACCGGUCUCAACCCCCGAGUUUGCCUGCCUCCAUGUUCCAAGUGCUGGGAUGACAGGUGUGUACCAUCACAGCCGUCCUAGCUGGAAAAACUGUAGCCUGUCUCUCAGUGAUCUGUCUUUCCAACUCAGAGCAAAGAACAAAGACAUCCCUGAAAUCAGUGAAUGGAUGCAUUUUACUUUGCACUGAGCAAGGCUGCUGGUCUCUCCCUGCCACGAAUAUGCCAGGUUGGGUAAUUAAGUUUGCGCUACGGCUUAGAUCAUUGAGAAGACAGGUGAUGCAGGUAAAAUGCUCAUGGCGUUUCAAACUGUAUCACAGGAAAAGAGCAAUGCUGUGUGAAAUAGAAACCCUCACGCCUUCUGAGAAGAGGAAACUCCUUGCCUCCCUUGCUUUUUGCCUCGGGGUUUUCUUCAAUGCAGUCAGGGCACUUUAAUGUGCCAGAGUGCGAGCCCUGGCCAGAGAUUUCUGCAGUCAAAAAUUCCAGUGUCUCAAUCGUCGUGUUCAGUCUUCUGGAUUAAUUGGAUAGAGCACCAUGUAAUACAAUUCCUUUGACACUGCUACAGAAAUACCUGAGGGAGUUCCCCCAGAAGAAUUGCUGCCCACAGAGGCGAAGCCGGGCCACAGGCUCAGAGUCUGUACUCAGCAAUCUCCAGCCUGGCUCUCCGGCCUCUCUCCAGCAGAGCCAGCCCCGUCCAUUUUCACAGUGCACCACGCAGCUCACCUUGGAGGAUGUUAUCAUCUGAAACAUUACCCAAUCCACCAAAAUAAUCACCGUGUCUGUCUUCACCUGCGCUUGCUCUAAAGAAAAAGAGCUAUCUUGAACUCACCCUCAGAUUUGUGUGUAAGGGGCAUGACAAAUGGGAAAUGUGAGUACAAGUGCCUUCCAGGAAGUUUCCAUUAAAAGGACUGAAAGAUGCUGGUCUUGGCAGAUCAUGCCUGUAAUUCCAGCAUUUGGGAGAAGGGGGAGGCUAAGGCAGGAACACAAUGAGACUGAGGCCAGCUUGAAUUACAUAGGAGACCCUGUCUCAUCCCCAACAAAUAGGACUAGUGAAAUGGGUGAGAAUGGCUUGCUGCACAAGUCUGAGGACCUGAGUAUCCUCCCAUGCACAUAAAAAUGCAGGUGUGGCUGUAUACACUCGUAACCUCAGACCUGUGGGAGUUGUGACAAGGGGCUCACAGGGACCAGUUGACUGUCAGCCUAGCUCCAGGCUCAGUGAGAGACCCUGUCUCACAGGAUUAAGGUGAAGAAUGACAGGAGCAGAAACCUGAAUUCUUCUCUGGCCUCUGCACAUAAGUGUGUGUUUGUCCGCCUGUGUGUGCACAUACAUCACACACACACACACACACACACACACACCAUACACACUCACUCAUUUGUAUAACAGGAAAUUUUUCAGUAAGUAUAAAAUUAUUUUAAGUGUGUGGUUAGCAUAAAUGUUCCCCAGCAACUACUUGUGAGGUUCUAAAGAAACUAUUAGAAGUCAUAUUCUGGUCAUUUCUGAUCAGGGAAAUAACAGAACUGUGUAAGAAAUGGUGUGGGGGGUCUAGGUGAGGGAGAAUGGAUUCUGUGUUCAAUGUAGACAUAUUGCCUUCUCGGAAUCUGCUGGUGUGGUGGUCACUAGUCAAGGAUCAGUAAAAGAAACAGGAUUUUCCAUUUUAAGAAUCUGGUGAUUAAAUGUCUAGAAUUAGAUGCUCCUGAAUCACUGGGAAAGCUGGAGAGAAAUGUUUUUUUAUCUCAGCCCCCAGCAAACAGGACAGAACUCGCUGAUGCUGAUGCUGAUGCUGAUGCCGAUGCUGAUGCUGAUGCUUCUGCUGUACCUUCAAGUUCAAAAUCACUUACCACUGUGGCUGAGCAAUUACCACUCCUUCUCCAGGUCAUGGGGCAGGAAGCGGGCAGGGAGGGGGGAAUCCAGAGCAAGUGUGAAUUCCCUGGCCUUCUCAACCAUAGAAAUAGCCAAGGAUGGCUUGAAGAUGGCUGCUGUUGUACUUAUGCCAUGCAAAGAGUGUACAUGUGUGCUUUAAUGUCUGUGUGAGAGAGAGUACGUGCAUAUG
rnacentral:sRNA from 1 species